AGAGUUUGAUCCUGGCUCAGAACGAACGCUGGCAGCGUGGAUGAGGCAUGCAAGUCGAACGGGAUCGAGUCUAGUAGUAAUACCUGACUCGUGAGAGUGGCGGAAGGGCGAGUAAUGCGAGAGUAAGCUACCCUUCAGUUCGGGACAACGUUUGGAAACGGACGCUAAUACCGGAUACGAAGUACGGACGAAUGUUCGUAUCUUGAAAGAUGGGGACCCGCAAGGGCCUGUUGCUGGAGGAGGUGCUCCCGUGCCAUCAGCUUGUUGGUGAGGUAAUGGCUCACCAAGGCUUACGGCUAGGUGGACUGAGAGGUUGGUCACCCGCACUGGGACUGAGACACUGCCCAGACUCCUACGGGAGGCUGCAGUCGAGGAUCAUUCGCAAUGCGCGAAAGCGUGACGAUGCGACGCUGCGUGGAGGAUGAAGGCCCUCGGGUCGUAAACUCCUGUCAUGAGGGAAAAGUGGAUACCCGCUAAUACCGGGUUAUCUUUGAUGGUACCUCAAGAGGAAGCCACGGCUAACUCUGUGCCAGCAGCCGCGGUAAUACAGAGGUGGCUAGCGUUGUUCGGAUUUACUGGGCGUAAAGCGUGCGUAGGCGGUCGCGUGUGUCGGAUGUGAAAUCCCGGGGCUCACCCCUGGAAGUGCAUCCGAAACUGCGUGGCUUGAGUCUGGGAUGGGUGACUGGAACACAUGGUGUAGCGGUGAAAUGCGUUGAUAUCAUGUGGAACACCGGAGGCGAAAGCGAGUCACUGGAACAGAACUGACGCUGAGGCACGAAAGCGUGGGGAGCAAACAGGAUUAGAUACCCUGGUAGUCCACGCUGUAAACGAUGGAUACUAGGUGUAGGAGGUAUCGACCCUCUCUGUGCCGGAGUUAACACAAUAAGUAUCCCACCUGGGGAGUACGGCCGCAAGGCUGAAACUCAAAGGAAUUGACGGGGGCCCGCACAAGCAGUGGAGUAUGUGGUUUAAUUUGAAGCAACGCGAAGAACCUUACCAGGGCUUGACAUCCCUCUGACUGGCUUAGAGAUAAGCCUUUUCUUCGGAACAGAGGUGACAGGUGGUGCAUGGUUGUCGUCAGCUCGUGUCGUGAGAUGUUGGGUUAAGUCCCGCAACGAGCGCAACCCCCGUUGUUAGUUGCCAUCAUUAAGUUGGGCACUCUAACGAGACUGCCGGUGACAAAUCGGAGGAAGGUGGGGGGGACGUCAAAUCAUCAUGCCCCCUAUGUCCUGGGCUACACACGUACUACAAUGGCGACUACAGAGGGCAGCAACAUCGCGAGGUAGAGCAAAUCCCCAAAAGUCGCCCCAGUUCGGAUUGCAGGCUGAAACUCGCCUGCAUGAAGUCGGAAUUGCUAGUAAUGGCAGGUCAGCAUACUGC
rnacentral:rRNA from 1 species